rnacentral:rRNA from 1 species
CUCAGAACGAACGCUGGCGGCAGGCUUAACACAUGCAAGUCGAACGCCCCUUUCGGGGGGAGUGGCAGACGGGUGAGUAACACGUGGGAACAUACCCUUCGGUUCGGAACAACGUUUGGAAACGGACGCUAAUACCGGAUACGGCCUGAUGGGCGAAAGAUUGAUCGCCGAAGGAUUGGCCCGCGUUCGAUUAGCUUGAUGGCGGGGUAACGGCCCACCAUGGCGACGAUCGAUAGCUGGUCUGAGAGGAUGGCCAGCCACAUUGGGACUGAGACACGGCCCAAACUCCUACGGGAGGCAGCAGUGGGGAAUAUUGGACAAUGGGCGCAAGCCUGAUCCAGCCAUGCCGCGUGAGUGAUGACGGCCUUAGGGUUGUAAAGCUCUUUCGCACGCGACGAUAAUGACGGUAGCGUGAGAAGAAGCCCCGGCUAACUUCGUGCCAGCAGCCGCGGUAAUACGAAGGGGGCUAGCGUUGUUCGGAAUCACUGGGCGUAAAGGGUGCGUAGGCGGGCAUUUAAGUCAGGGGUGAAAUCCCGAGGCUCAACCUCGGAACUGCCCUUGAUACUGGGUGUCUUGAGUCCGGAAGAGGUGAGUGGAACUGCGAGUGUAGAGGUGAAAUUCGUAGAUAUUCGCAAGAACACCGGUGGCGAAGGCGGCUCACUGGUCCGGAACUGACG